rnacentral:rRNA from 1 species
UACGUAGGGCGCAAGCGUUGUCCGGAAUUAUUGGGCGUAAGGAGCUCGUAGGCGGCUUGUCACGUCGGGUGUGAAAGACCGGGGCUUAACCCCGGUUCUGCAUUCGAUACGGGCUGGCUAGAGUGUGGUAGGGGAGAUCGGAAUUCCUGGUGUAGCGGUGAAAUGCGCAGAUAUCAGGAGGAACACCGGUGGCGAAGGCGGCAUCCUGGACCAACACUGACACUGAGGAGCGAAAGCCAGGGGAGCAAACGGG